rnacentral:lncRNA from 1 species
GAAGAGUUUACAGUUCAGCCAACAGCUCUCACAAGCUGACUGUCCUGUUUGCUUCUACACUAUAGCAGCAAGGGAAUGGUUACUACUGCUGAGCCAUCCUGAGCUGUGAUGGGUCUUUGGUCUUCAUUCAUAGAAGGCAGAAAAAUUAAAAAGGAAAAUUAAUCUCUCAGGGGAAAACAAAGCAAAGCAGAAACCUCUGCUUCAUCUCAUGGCCUGCUUAAACACAGGUCUGGACUAGAACAUUUGCUGUGACCAUUUAGUGACCCAUGCUUGUCCCAGAUUCAUCUUAUGAACUGGAAAAAGCAAUUGGUCUGCCCGCAUGUCCUGAAGUACUGAUAUUUGUCAAAUUCACUGCUUUGAAAGCCCUAGAUUUGAACUACUGGAUAUGCAGAGAGAGAAGCAAAUAAACGCUGGCUGUGAUAUGUGUGUUUCAUCUGGGUAAUAUCCUGGAUCCAGAGGACUGCCUGCAACUGUGACUGACUGUGUUAAGUCUGUUUUAUCCACACUGAAGUCUUUUCUUUCUUUGCUGAAGACUCAGGAAGCCUUGGGAAAGAGCGUGCCUCUUGCUUGCUUUCCUGUCUGAUUUGAUCUUACCAAGGGGCCAUGGUGGAUCAUGAAAAUCUCCCUGCUCCCAACUGAGCAGUCACAGAGAAGCACUGGAUGUCCAUCUUCCUCCUUUGGCCUUGUCCUCAUUUGGAUACUGACCCUCUCCCCAGCACAGAUCGUCUCUCCUCUGCUAGACAUCCUUGUGUUCCCAUGCCCCAGUUUCCCAGGAAUGGAUGUGAAUGCAGCUGUUGGGAGAGUCGGUGCCCAUCUGCCUGGGUCGAAUGCUGCACUGGGAGCAACACUGCUGUUGCCUGUGGGGCAGAGCCAGGAUGUGAGUGAACACUUCAGAAUCAGGCUGGGGUGUGCAAGUUCAAGCACAGGUAAAAGUUUUGUUAACAUUUGUUGGGUUUUUUUAACCUCAGAUGCAUAG